CCCUUGCAAAAUUCCUUGCUCCGCUGCCAAUUGGAUAUGAUACACACAUUCAGAUCAUUGACUUAUCUGAAGUUGAGCUAUAACAUAUCUUCAUGCCUCAAGGCUAGUACUUUUUUUUUUUUUUUUUUGGGUUUUAAGGAUCCUCUUGUCAGCGGAUACACAAUAGUAGAGUUAUGGGCUAAUUAACAGAAGGGACCUGCCUAGCAUAUGUAGUUCCUAGGUUAUCUGCUUCAGAUUCCUCAUGAGCAUACGUUGAAGAAGCUAUGAGGAUAGAGGGAGUGCCAAAAACUUCUUGUUUCGAUCCUUCUUGCGCCAGCCUGUCAACAAGACUAUUCUGCUCCCUGAAGGUGUGUUGGAGCCCCCAACUUCUGCAACAAUGACCUGCACUCAACAAUUAAGAAGUUAGUAUAUAAUGGUUGGUCAUUUAUUGUAUAAAUAACAACAAGUAUUCUGAAAUGAUUUCAAUCCUACCAAACACAUCCUUAAUUCGAUCGUGGUAACAUGUUCUGUUCAAUCAAUUUAUAAUAACCAAACAGAUUUAGAAUUGCUAGGAAAUUUUAGGGUAACUAACAAGUUCUUCUACUUGUAACUUUUACCAAGGUCAACCAUCUUUGCUCAUGAAAAGUCAAUCAAUAGCCUCAUGAAACAUGCCAAAUGGCUUUUAUAAAUCAUUGUCCAAUAGCAAUUCUAGAGCUUACUCAAC
rnacentral:lncRNA from 1 species